rfam:Protomyces lactucaedebilis strain 12-1054 BCR37scaffold_4, whole genome shotgun sequence.
GCGCCAAUGGUCUAGUGGUAUGAUUCACCCUUAGGGUGGGUGAGGUCCCAGGUUCAAUUCCUGGUUGGCGCC